CAAGCAGGUCGGCCCUAUCGCUAAGUUCAUAUUUGUGGCUUAGAGGAAAGUCCGGACACCAUAGAGCAGCAUAGUGGGUAACGCCCACCGGUCGUGAGGCCAGGACAAGUGCAACAGAAAGAAUGUACAGGUAAUGCUGUAGUGAAAUCAGGUAAACUCUAUGCGGUGCAAU
rnacentral:RNase_P_RNA from 1 species